CAGUCGACGAGAGGACAUGGGAAGCUUGCUUCCUAUGAAAUCGAGUGGCAAACGGGUGAGUAACGCGUAAACAACCUGCCCUUCGGAUGGGGAUAACAGCCGGAAACGGCUGCUAGUACCGAAUACGAUCUUUUCGUCGCAUGACGGAAAGAAGAAAGGAUGGCCUCUAUACAAAGCUAUCGCCGAAGGAGGGGUUUGCGUCUGAUUAGCUGGUUGGAGGGGUAACGGCCCAACAAGGCGAUGAUCAGUAGCCGGUCUGAGAGGAUGAACGGCCACAUUGGGACUGAGACACGGCCCAGACUCCUACGGGAGGCAGCAGUGGGGAAUCUUCCGCAAUGGACGAAAGUCUGACGGAGCAACGCCGCGUGAGUGAAGAAGGUCUUCGGAUUGUAAAGCUCUGUUAUACGGGACGAAAAAGACGGAUGCCAACAGUAUCCGUCCGUGACGGUACCGUAAGAGAAAGCCACGGCUAACUACGUGCCAGCAGCCGCGGUAAUACGUAGGUGGCAAGCGUUGUCCGGAAUUAUUGGGCGUAAAGGGCACGCAGGCGGUUCGGUAAGUCUGUCUUAAAAGUGCGGGGCUUAACCCCGUGAGGGGACGGAAACUGUCGAACUUGAGUGUCGGAGAGGAAAGCGGAAUUCCUAGUGUAGCGGUGAAAUGCGUAGAUAUUAGGAGGAACACCGGUGGCGAAAGCGGCUUUCUGGACG
rnacentral:rRNA from 1 species